GGGAGUGUAGCUCAGUGGUAGAGCUUUGCCUAGCACAUGUAAGGCCCUGGGUUCAAUCCCUAGCACUGCUA
rnacentral:tRNA from 1 species